ACUAAGCGUACACGGUGGAUGCCCUGGCAGUCAGAGGCGAUGAAGGACGUGCUAAUCUGCGAUAAGCGUCGGUAAGGUGAUAUGAACCGUUAUAACCGGCGAUUUCCGAAUGGGGAAACCCAGUGUGAUUCGUCACACUAUCAUUAACUGAAUCCAUAGGUUAAUGAGGCGAACCGGGGGAACUGAAACAUCUAAGUACCCCGAGGAAAAGAAAUCAACCGAGAUUCCCCCAGUAGCGGCGAGCGAACGGGGAGCAGCCCAGAGCCUGAAUCAGUGUGUGUGUUAGUGGAAGCGUCUGGAAAGGCGCGCGAUACAGGGUGACAGCCCCGUACACAAAAAUGCACAUACUGUGAGCUCGAUGAGUAGGGCGGGACACGUGGUAUCCUGUCUGAAUAUGGGGGGACCAUCCUCCAAGGCUAAAUACUCCUGACUGACCGAUAGUGAACCAGUACCGUGAGGGAAAGGCGAAAAGAACCCCGGCGAGGGGAGUGAAAAAGAACCUGAAACCGUGUACGUACAAGCAGUGGGAGCACGCUUAGGCGUGUGACUGCGUACCUUUUGUAUAAUGGGUCAGCGACUUAUAUUCUGUAGCAAGGUUAACCGAAUAGGGGAGCCGAAGGGAAACCGAGUCUUAACUGGGCGUUAAGUUGCAGGGUAUAGACCCGAAACCCGGUGAUCUAGCCAUGGGCAGGUUGAAGGUUGGGUAACACUAACUGGAGGACCGAACCGACUAAUGUUGAAAAAUUAGCGGAUGACUUGUGGCUGGGGGUGAAAGGCCAAUCAAACCGGGAGAUAGCUGGUUCUCCCCGAAAGCUAUUUAGGUAGCGCCUCGUGAAUUCAUCUCCGGGGGUAGAGCACUGUUUCGGCAAGGGGGUCAUCCCGACUUACCAACCCGAUGCAAACUGCGAAUACCGGAGAAUGUUAUCACGGGAGACACACGGCGGGUGCUAACGUCCGUCGUGAAGAGGGAAACAACCCAGACCGCCAGCUAAGGUCCCAAAGUCAUGGUUAAGUGGGAAACGAUGUGGGAAGGCCCAGACAGCCAGGAUGUUGGCUUAGAAGCAGCCAUCAUUUAAAGAAAGCGUAAUAGCUCACUGGUCGAGUCGGCCUGCGCGGAAGAUGUAACGGGGCUAAACCAUGCACCGAAGCUGCGGCAGCGACACUAUGUGUUGUUGGGUAGGGGAGCGUUCUGUAAGCCUGUGAAGGUGUACUGUGAGGUAUGCUGGAGGUAUCAGAAGUGCGAAUGCUGACAUAAGUAACGAUAAAGCGGGUGAAAAGCCCGCUCGCCGGAAGACCAAGGGUUCCUGUCCAACGUUAAUCGGGGCAGGGUGAGUCGACCCCUAAGGCGAGGCCGAAAGGCGUAGUCGAUGGGAAACAGGUUAAUAUUCCUGUACUUGGUGUUACUGCGAAGGGGGGACGGAGAAGGCUAUGUUGGCCGGGCGACGGUUGUCCCGGUUUAAGCGUGUAGGCUGGUUUUCCAGGCAAAUCCGGAAAACUAAGGCUGAGGCGUGAUGACGAGGCACUACGGUGCUGAAGCAACAAAUGCCCUGCUUCCAGGAAAAGCCUCUAAGCAUCAGGUAACAUCAAAUCGUACCCCAAACCGACACAGGUGGUCAGGUAGAGAAUACCAAGGCGCUUGAGAGAACUCGGGUGAAGGAACUAGGCAAAAUGGUGCCGUAACUUCGGGAGAAGGCACGCUGAUAUGUAGGUGAAGUCCCUCGCGGAUGGAGCUGAAAUCAGUCGAAGAUACCAGCUGGCUGCAACUGUUUAUUAAAAACACAGCACUGUGCAAACACGAAAGUGGACGUAUACGGUGUGACGCCUGCCCGGUGCCGGAAGGUUAAUUGAUGGGGUCAGCGCAAGCGAAGCUCUUGAUCGAAGCCCCGGUAAACGGCGGCCGUAACUAUAACGGUCCUAAGGUAGCGAAAUUCCUUGUCGGGUAAGUUCCGACCUGCACGAAUGGCGUAAUGAUGGCCAGGCUGUCUCCACCCGAGACUCAGUGAAAUUGAACUCGCUGUGAAGAUGCAGUGUACCCGCGGCAAGACGGAAAGACCCCGUGAACCUUUACUAUAGCUUGACACUGAACAUUGAGCCUUGAUGUGUAGGAUAGGUGGGAGGCUUUGAAGUGUGGACGCCAGUCUGCAUGGAGCCGACCUUGAAAUACCACCCUUUAAUGUUUGAUGUUCUAACGUUGACCCGUAAUCCGGGUUGCGGACAGUGUCUGGUGGGUAGUUUGACUGGGGCGGUCUCCUCCUAAAGAGUAACGGAGGAGCACGAAGGUUGGCUAAUCCUGGUCGGACAUCAGGAGGUUAGUGCAAUGGCAUAAGCCAGCUUGACUGCGAGCGUGACGGCGCGAGCAGGUGCGAAAGCAGGUCAUAGUGAUCCGGUGGUUCUGAAUGGAAGGGCCAUCGCUCAACGGAUAAAAGGUACUCCGGGGAUAACAGGCUGAUACCGCCCAAGAGUUCAUAUCGACGGCGGUGUUUGGCACCUCGAUGUCGGCUCAUCACAUCCUGGGGCUGAAGUAGGUCCCAAGGGUAUGGCUGUUCGCCAUUUAAAGUGGUACGCGAGCUGGGUUUAGAACGUCGUGAGACAGUUCGGUCCCUAUCUGCCGUGGGCGCUGGAGAACUGAGGGGGGCUGCUCCUAGUACGAGAGGACCGGAGUGGACGCAUCACUGGUGUUCGGGUUGUCAUGCCAAUGGCACUGCCCGGUAGCUAAAUGCGGAAGAGAUAAGUGCUGAAAGCAUCUAAGCACGAAACUUGCCCCGAGAUGAGUUCUCCCUGACUCCUUGAGAGUCCUGAAGGAACGUUGAAGACGACGACGUUGAUAGGCCGGGUGUGUAAGCGCAGCGAUGCGUUGAGCUAACCGGUACUAAUGAACCGUGAGGCUUAACC
rnacentral:rRNA from 1 species